UAUGCGAGUCGAGAGGGUUCGGCCCUCGGCAUACGGCUCAGUAACACGCUGGAUAAUCUGCCCUGAGGAGGGGGAUAAUCUCGAGAAAUUGAGGAUAAUACCCCAUAGACCAGAUCUCCUGGAAUGCCUUCUGGUUGAAAGCUCCGGCGCCUCAGGAUGAGUCUGCGGCCUAUCAGGUUGUAGUGAGUGUAACGGACUCACUAGCCGACGACGGGUACGGGCAGUGGGAGCUGUCGCCCGGAGAUGGACUCUGAGACACGAGUCCAGGCCCUACGGGGCGCAGCAGGCGCGAAAACUCCACAAUGCACGAAAGUGCGAUGGGGCUAACCCGAGUGCCGUCCGCUGAGGAUGGCUUUUCUCCGCUGUAAGGAGGCGGAGGAAGAAGGAGAGGGCAAGACUGGUGUCAGCCGCCGCGGUAAUACCAGCUCUCCGAGUGGUAGGGACGAUUAUUUGGCCUAAAGCGUUCGUAGCCGGCCUGGAAAGUCUCUCGUCAAAUCCAGCGACUCAAUCGUUGGACUGCGGGGGAUACUGUCAGGCUUGGGAGCGGGAGAGGCCGACGGUAUUCCCGGGGUAGGAGUGAAAUCCUGUAAUCCCGGGAGGACCACCAGUGGCGAAGGCUGUCGGCUAGAACGCGUCCGACGGUGAGGGACGAAAGCUGGGGGAGCGAACCGGAUUAGAUACCCGGGUAGUCCCAGCUGUAAACUAUGCGGGCUAGGUGUCGGUGUGGCUACNAGCCACUCCGGUGCCGCAGGGAAACUCAUAAGCCCGCCGCCUGGGGAAGUACGGUCGCAAGGCUGAAACUUAAAGGAAUUGGCGGGGGAGCACCA
rnacentral:rRNA from 1 species